UACGGCCAAUUCACAUUGAAACACCGAUUUCCGUACGAUCAACGAAGUUAAGCAACCUCGAAUCUGGUCAGUACUUGGAGUGGUGACCGCUUUGGAAUACCAGGUGCUGUAAG